rnacentral:rRNA from 1 species
UACGAAGGACCCGAGCGUUAUCCGGAUUUAUUGGGUUUAAAGGGUGCGUAGGUGGAACGGUAAGUCAGUGGUGAAAGCCUGUUGCUUAACAACAGAACUGCCAUCGAUACUGCCGAUCUUGAGUACAUAUGAUGUGGGCGGAAUGUGCCAUGUAGCGGUGAAAUGCUUAGAUAUGGCACAGAACACCGAUUGCGAAGGCAGCUCACAAAACUGUAACUGACACUGAGGCACGAAAGCGUGGGGAGCGAACAGG